AUAAAUUUAUUAUUUAAAAAAAAAAAAAAUAUAUCUGUUCUUAUCAGCUUAAUAUCUGAUACGUCUCCUGAUGGAGACAUCGAUAUUAAACUGAUUUUUAGAAUGGGGUGAGGUGCCACGGGGCUUGCUCCGCCCUCAUCACGGGUUGAUCCGGUAUUGCAGUACCUCCGGGAAUGGCCCACCACUC
rnacentral:snRNA from 1 species